AUGGCCUGGGCCCCUCUCCUCUCCCUCCUCGCUCACUGCACAGUGUCCUGGGCUCAGUCUGUGCUGAUACAGCCACCCUCAGCGUCUGGGAACCUGGGCCAGCAGGCCAUCAUCUCCUGCACUGGGAGCAGCACCAUCAUUGGUGAAAACUAUCUGCACUGGUACCAAGAGCUCCCAGGAACAUCACCUAAACUGCCCAUCUUUGGUGAUAACAAGCGAUCCUUAAGCGUCACAGACAGAUUCUCAGGUUCCAAGUCUGGCAACACAGGCAUCCUGACCAUCACUGGGCUGCAAUCAGAGGAUGAGACUGAUUAUUACUGCCAGUCCUAUGACAGCAGCCUGAGUGCUCAUACAGUGCUCCAGGUCGGCAGGGAAGUGAGACAAGAACCCCUUUCUCAUCUGUCAGGAGGGGAACACCCAGCUGCUCCUGUCAGAUCCUUCAGGGGCUUCUGGUAG